GUGCCGCUAGCUCAGCCGGUAGAGCAACGGACUUUUAAUCCGUAGGUGCCGGGUUCGACCCCCGGGCGGCACA
rnacentral:tRNA from 1 species